GACGAACGCUGGCGGCGUGCCUAAUACAUGCAAGUCGAGCGAAUGGAAGGGAGCUUGCUCCCUGAAGUUAGCGGCGAACGGGUGAGUAACACGUGGGUAACCUGCCCAUCAGAGGGGGACAACACUUGGAAACAGGUGCUAAUACCGCAUAACAAAUGAAACCGCAUGGUUUCAUUUUGAAAGGCGCUUCUGGUGUCACUGAUGGAUGGACCCGCGGUGCAUUAGCUAGACGGUGAGGUAACGGCUCACCGUGGCGAUGAUGCAUAGCCGACCUGAGAGGGUGAUCGGCCACAUUGGGACUGAGACACGGCCCAAACUCCUACGGGAGGCAGCAGUAGGGAAUCUUCGGCAAUGGACGCAAGUCUGACCGAGCAACGCCGCGUGAGUGAUGAAGGUUUUCGGAUCGUAAAACUCUGUUGUUAGAGAAGAACAAGAGAAGUAGUAACUGGCUUCUCCUUGACGGUAUCUAACCAGAAAGCCACGGCUAACUACGUGCCAGCCGCCGCAGUAAGAC
rnacentral:rRNA from 1 species